GGAAAAUUUCGCUGUGCUUUGAAUGUCACGCCGAUAAAAAUAAUUUUUGUAUAUUGAAUAAAUGAGAUACGAAAAAAUUCAAUUUCCGCGUGACGUAGUUAAGGUUAGCGUGAAGUAUCAC